GCACGGCCUCCGCCGAGUCCGGUACGCCUUCCCGUGGCAGCCGGAGCCGGGGACCCACCGACCUCUGGGGUGAAUCGACCCGACCGCCGUACGCGGCGAGGGUCGUAGGGCAAACCUUCCGAAGCUUGCGCCCGAACCCGACAGCUAACUCGGUAGGCGGAUUACGGAAGGAGUC
rnacentral:sRNA from 2 species